rnacentral:rRNA from 1 species
GGGGGGGGGGGGGGGGGGGGGGGGGGGGGGGGAGUGGGGGGGGGGCGGGGAGGGGCGUGGGUGGUGGCUGGCGGGUGGCGGGCGGGGGGGUAGUGGCUGGGGGGGUGGCGGGGGGGGGGGGGUCGCUGCUGGGAACGGGAGCUACUACCGCCUGACGUCGCCAGGCCCAGGGGGGGGGCCUUCGGGCCGCUUGCCCUCGGCUGUGCACGGUGGGGAUUAGCUAGUAGGUGUGGUACCGGCUCCGCGAGGCGACGAUCCCUAGCGGGUCUGCGAGGCUGACCAGCCACACUGGAACUGAGACACGGUCCAGACGCCUACGGGAGGCAGCAGUGGGGAAUAUUGCACAAUGGGCGCAAGCCUGAUGCAGCCAUGCCGCGUGUAUGAAGAAGGCCUUCGGGUUGUAAAGUACUUUCAGCGGGGAGGAAGGGAGUAAAGUUAAUACCUUUGCUCAUUGACGUUACCCGCAGAAGAAGCACCGGCUAACUCCGUG